rnacentral:rRNA from 1 species
CGUUUCGAGGGGACCACUUAUACCGCAUACGUCCUACGGGAGAAAGCAGGGGACCUUCGGGCCUUGCGCUAUCACAUGAGCCUAGGUCGGAUUAGCUAGUUGGUGAGGUAAUGGCUCACCAAGGCGACGAUCCGUAACUGGUCUGAGAGGAUGAUCAGUCACACUGGAACUGAGACACGGUCCAGACUCCUACGGGAGGCAGCAGUGGGGAAUAUUGGACAAUGGGCGAAAGCCUGAUCCAGCCAUGCCGCGUGUGUGAAGAAGGUCUUCGGAUUGUAAAGCACUUUAAGUUGGGAGGAAGGGUUGUAGAUUAAUACUCUGCAAUUUUGACGGUUACCGACAGAAUAAGCACCGGGCUAACUCUGUGCCAGCAGCCGCGGUAAUACAGAGGGUGCAAGCGUUAAUCGGGAAUUACUGGGGCGUAAAAGCGCGCGUAGGGUUGUUUGUUAAGUUGGAUGUGAAAUCCCCCGGGCUCAACCUGGGGAACUGCAUCCCAAAACUGGGCAAGCUAGAGUAUGGUAGAGGGUGGUGGAAUUUCCUGUGUAGCGGUUAAAUGCGUAGAUUUGGGAAGGGAACAC